rnacentral:rRNA from 1 species
AGUAACACGAUCCAACCUGCCGAUAACUCGGGGAUAGCCUUUCGAAAGAAAGAUUAAUACCCGAUGGUAUAAUUAGACCGCAUGGUCUUGUUAUUAAAGAAUUUCGGUUAUCGAUGGGGAUGCGUUCCAUUAGGCAGUUGGUGAGGUAACGGCUCACCAAACCUUCGAUGGAUAGAGGUUCUGAGAGGAAGGUCCCCCACAUUGGAACUGAGACACGGUCCAAACUCCUACGGGAGGCAGCAGUGAGGAAUAUUGGUCAAUGGGCGCAGGCCUGAACCAGCCAAGUAGCGUGAAGGAUGACUGCCCUAUGGGUUGUAAACUUCUUUUAUAUGGGAAUAAAGUUUUCCACGUGUGGAAUUUUGUAUGUACCAUAUGAAUAAGGAUCGGCUAACUCCGUGCCAGCAGCCGCGGUAAUACGGAGGAUCCGAGCGUUAUCCGGAUUUAUUGGGUUUAAAGGGAGCGUAGGUGGACAGUUAAGUCAGUUGUGAAAGUUUGCGGCUCAACCGUAAAAUUGCAGUUGAUACUGGCUGUCUUGAGUACAGUAGAGGUGGGCGGAAUUCGUGGUGUAGCGGUGAAAUGCUUAGAUAUCACGAAGAACUCCGAUUGCGAAGGCAGCUCACUGGACUGCAACUGACACUGAUGCUCGAAAGUGUGGGUAUCAAACAGGAUUAGAUACCCUGGUAGUCCACACAGUAAACGAUGAAUACUCGCUGUUUGCGAUAUACAGUAAGCGGCCAAGCGAAAGCAUUAAGUAUUCCACCUGGGGAGUAC